GCCCCAGUACGUUGAAGAAGAAGGUGAAGAAGAUCUCAUCCAGAAAGCCGUGCAUUCCGAAGAAAAGAAAGCGGGGAUGGUGUUUCCCUUCCUGUUUGCUGAUCCACUGGGGCUGUCCCAGAAAGAGAACUACAACGCUACUCUUUCCCAUGCCUUGCUUGUCCACAGGUCAUAGGAAAUGAAACAGACUGCUGUUUUCAUGAGUGACCUGUUCUCGAGCCUAAGAAUCUCUUGGGCCACCCAGCCCCACAGAGGCCAGUAGGAGGUCAACUCUCCACCUCCCUAAAAAAAAAAAAAACGAGUGUGCGAGAAGUAUGUUGUAAUUGAAGUAGCAUACUGCCUGACACCCAAGAGGUUGCUCUGUAAGUGAAUUGCCUUUCACCUCCUGCCAUGAUUCUGAGGCCCCCAGCCAUGUGGAACUGGAGAAGGGAGAUGAAAUAAUACCAGCAUCCUGAACCUGAAUGUCCAGCUUCGCCUUGUUCUUUGUGGAUUAUAAGACCAUUGAUUAAAUAAAUCCUUUCAUCAAAAUUAUCUUAAAAAAGAAACUACCAUCUAAAUCCAGUUAUUCCAUCUGACUUGGUAGCAGUGAUGUUUGGAGUUUAGGACCUAAAGGUGAAAUGAUAUAUGUACAUAUAUACAUAUGUACUCACACAGACACAUACACACACACACAUAUGUAUGUGUGUUGCCUGGAAAGCAAGUGUGUAGAAAUCGUGGGAUUAGGAUUAGGAUUAUGGGGAUCUAACUGCGUCCAUGUCAUUCUUGGAGAAACAGUUCUAAGAACAAAUGCUGAAGGCAAACAAAUGAUGCAUUCUCAAAUGAAAGAGGUCUGAACUGAGAUUGUGCCCAUCAAUUCCUGAGAAGAGAAUUUUAACAAAACGCAGCUGAAAGAGAUGCAAGCUAAAGCCAGGCCACAAAUUUUAUUUACUUAAAAAUAUCAGGGAGCAUCCAUUUUUCCUCUUUCAACAUGACAUGUAAGACAAAGCAUACUGUUGAAAAGAAAAAUAAAAUGAUGUUUUAAUAACUCAAAGAAGGAACACGUACAUGAAAGUGGUUUCUCACUGGAAUCUGCAAUAGUAACAAAGGAGACAGUGAGCAUCAAACAUCUGGGUUGUGGGCUCCCAUACACUUCCAUGAGAUUAUCCAGAAAACCAUGAAUUCUUGGGUGAGUGGGCAAUUUUCCUGAUAAGAGUGGAUGGCUACAAGAAAGGCAUCACCCCAACACUGGCCAGACUUUCACCUAUAAUCUUGGGUUAGUUGUCUCAUUGAGUAGAACAGAAAAAUAGCAUCAAUAUGAAUUAUUUUUUAAGGAGGUAACUUUAGGAUUUUUCUUCUGAGCAACACACAAGCAAAAAAGAAAAAAAAAAGAAAAAAGAGAAAAACCACUGACCAUAAAUGGCUUAAUCUCCAGGCCCAGCCUCCAGUGUUGCUCCAGAUUCAAACUGACAUUUGAUGACAAUAUAAGACAUUCAUCUUUUGUGAAUCUAUUGUGAGAAAUAGGGAAUCUAUUUCUCUAUGGUUUUUUAGUAGUGUGGGCCAAACUGUGUCUCUUCUCCCCAAAGUUAACGUGCUGAAACACUAACCUUCAGUACUUCAGAAUGUGAUAUUACUGGGAACAGGGCCUUUAAAGAGGCAAUUAAGUGAAAAUGAGGCAAUGAAGGUGGGCCCUAAUUUAAUUUUAAUGGUGUUCUCAUAUACAGGGGAAAAUCUGGGUGCUCGGAAAGACACCAGAAGCACACAGAAGAAGAUCAUAUGAAGACACAACAAGAAGGUGACUAGCUGCAAGCCAAGAAGAGAAGCCUCAGAAGAAAUCAAACGUACUAGCACCUUGAUCUUGGAAUUCCAGUCUCCAAAGCUGCGAGAAAAUAAAAUUCUGUUGCUUAAGCUGCCAAGACUAUGGUAUUUUCUUAUGGCAAUCUUAGCAAAAUAACCCUAUUAGCAAACAAAUGCAUACAAAAUCUCUGUAAAUACAGCAGGUUUCCUUUUUAAAAAAACUCUUUAUUUUGAAAAAUUAUAGUUCUACAACAAAUAAUAAAAAAGAUAUACAGGAUGGUCCUAUUUACUCUUGACUCAGUUUCCCUUAUAGUAACAUCUUAUAUAACUACUAGGAAAAUGAUGUUGAUACAUUCCACAUAUCUUGUUAAAAUUUAACCAGUUUUACAUGUAUUAGUUUGUUCUAUGCAAUUUUCUUGCAUGUGUAGACCCAUGUUACCACUACCAUAGAGAAAAUCCAGAAUCAUUCCAUCACCAGAGGCUCCUUCAUGCUGUCUCUUUAUACUCAUUCUUACCUCUUUCUCUAGCUCAUCCCUAACCCCUCACAACCAUUAAUCUGUUCUCCAUCUCUACAACCCUGUUAUUUCAAGAAUGCCAUAUAAUGAGAAUCAAAAUUAAGUGAACUUUUGGGACUAUUUUCACUCAGAAUAAUUCUCUUGAAAUUCAGCCAAGUUAUUGUGUGCAACAAUAACUCAUUCCUUCUUAUUGCGGAGUAGUAGUCCAUGAUAUGGAUGCACUACAGGUUCCUUAACCACUUACUAGGAUAUUACAGUUGUUUACAGUUUGAAGCUAUUAUGACUAAAGCUGACGCUCACAUUUAUAUAUAAGUUUUUAUACAGAAAUAUGUCUCCAUUUCUCUGGAAAAAAAAUCCCAAGGGUACAAUUGCCGAGUCAAAUGUUAAGUGAAUGUUUACUUUAAAAGUGUUAUAUUGUUUUUUAGAGUGGGUGUACCAUUUUACAUUACCAUCAGCAAUGUAUAAGAGGUCCUGUUUCUCAGUAUCAGGCAAUAGAUAAUGUAUGUGCCAUGUAUACGUUUCCAGAACAUGAAAGUAUAGGAAUCUUCUUUUAUUUUAUUAUGUUAGCAUACCCUUCACACUCAAACCUAGCUGUGUGCUGAAAAGGUGAUUCUCUGGAAUUUAAGGAACUUAAAACCCCUGAUUUAUAGCAACUGCAUAUUUUCCAGUUGUGGCUAUUUCCCACCGUGGUUUUCAAACUACCCACAUGACUUAAUUGAAAGUGAAUUAAGGAAAAAAAUACUCACAAGUAGUUCUCACACAGUUCUCACUGGCACAAGCCAGUUCCAGCACACUGCUGCACAUACACAAACAUAUGCACACAUGCAUACACACAUAUAUACACACAUGCAUAUUCACAGACACAUAAAAACACAGAUGCAUAGAGACACCAGAUUUAUCUCCUUCAUUCGUACAGAUGGACCAUUAAAUAAGAUGACAAGAUGAAUUUAAUAGCAUGACAUAAUCAAAUAUAGAGACAGAUAUAAAAUACAUAGAGUAUGAAACUAUGAAACAAUUUUGGAAAUAAAAGUGUAUAUUAAUGUGCAAAUAUAUGUAUAGAAUAUGAGACUGAAAACACCAAAAUGUUGAUACUGUUUAUUUCUGGGUAGUUGGAUGACAAGUGAAUUUAGUUUUUCUGAUUGUGCUUUUCUUUAUCUUUAAGGAACAUGUUUUCUUUUAAUCAGAAAGAAAUAAUUACAUAUAUAUGUAAUUAACAUAUAUUGUAUAAUAUAUAUCACAUAUAUUCCACAUAUAUGGAAUAUAUAUUGUGUUUUAAAGUUUAAAAUGUGAGGAGACCACGUCAAUGAGGAACUUGGAACCAAGUAAAACAUGGAUGGAUAUGUGACAAUAUUGUGGAAUAGAGUGAAAAUUCAGCUCAGAAAUAGUGAAGCUUAUUUUAAAUGGAAACUAAAAUAAGAUCAUGUGGAUUAAAUUAGAGAUAUUUCCAGGAGAAGAUAUGUUUGAGCAUAACUUUCCUCUCCUCCCUAUCUGAGGAAAAUUCUGGAAGAGACUUCAUACGUAUCUAUAUUUGUAUCUAUGUCAGAAAAGGAGAGAAGUAAGGCCUGGGAGGCAGCUUGCUGUUGUGAAAGGAAAAUGAAGUCAGAUGAUCCUUAAUUUGGAUACUCUUUCUUACCAUUUGGGGCAAGUUACUUCCUCAAAGCCUCAAUUUCUUCUUCUCUAGCAUGAGAUUAAUAUUUGUGAUUCAUCAGAAGGUUAAACAAAGCAAUUUUUACAAAGUAAAAAGCAAAUUUUACAAAGAAGGCUUUCAUUUUGUUCUGUCCUAUUUUAUUCUAAAUUAUGGUAUGUUACCCAAAUCCCAGUGGGAGCUUUUGUGAGUGAAUGACAUUAAAAAAUUACUGGAACAGGAAAUAUUUCCCUUUAAUGAACUAGAUGAGAUUUUUUAAAAAAAAACCACUAAUUAUGUAUUUUACAUUAUGGAAACAGAGAUUAUAUAAUGAUAAAAAGAUGUGUAUUAUAUUUUAAAAAAUAGUUACAAAAAGUAAAUCUUUUGUUUUCAUGUGA
ensembl:lncRNA novel transcript